GGCGGGAAAGAGUGUAUCGGAUGCGGCAGCGGGAGGUGUUAACUUCGUGAAGGACAAGACCGGCCUGAACAAGUAGCGAUUCGGGUCAAAUUUGGGAGU
rnacentral:sRNA from 1 species